rnacentral:lncRNA from 1 species
GCGGAUCUAGUUUCCCUGAUAUUGCAAUUAAAAAGAUUGAAGCCACAACGGUGGAUCUUACUUCCCCGACGGUGCGGUGGAACAGAUUGAAGCUACGACGGCGGAUCUAGUUUCCCCAACAUUGCAGUUGAACAAAUUGAAGAUUACAGAUCUUAUCUCCCUAGACAGUAGUGGAGCAGAUCAAAGAUGACAGAUUUUACCUCCCUGAGGUUACAGUGGAGUAUAUUGAAGCCAGCAAUUCUAUUUCCC